UACCCUCCCACUCUCUCGCUCGCUUAGCUCAGCCACUCGCUCGCUGGCUCUCGAACCCCUAGCUCACCGCCACCGGCGCCUCUCCGUCGCACGCGUUGCCGGCGCCUCUACCCCGCACGCAGCGCCUCCGCCUCUCCCUCUCGCGUCGUCGCCGCCUUUCCAUGUUGCCAUACACCGUCGCCUCUCCCUCUUCAAGAUUUCAUUUUUACUCCAGCGGCUAGAUCUGAAGCGCGGCUGCUCCACCUUCCUCAGGGUUGCGGGGAUCUCCGGCGGCUGGAUCUGAAGCGCGGCUGCUCCACCUUCCUCAGGGUGGCGGGGAUCUCCGGCUCGCUGCGCAUGGGAAGGGCCCGACCGCCGGCGGCCGCUGCGGGCAGAAUGGGAACUGCGUCGGCGACGUCGUCGGCGUCCCAGGGACAGGGCACGGCGGCACGCACUGCGGGACAGGGCACGGCGGCACGCACUGCGUGACAGGGCACGGCGACACGCACUGCCGUUGCCGCCGUCCGCCAGCGCGCCGCUGGCUGACAGGAGCAGCCACAACCACGAGGCCACGACGAGCAGGACUGUUGGCGACGGGUUGGUGCAGUCCCGCGAGGACCGCGCCGUGUGGGAUGCCGAGAUGACGUUGCCGGAGAAGGAGUCUCCGACUACCUCACGCCCACCGCUGGCCUGCACAUCAGGUCGCCGAGCCCGUACGCCGGUGUGAGCAGCCUGGGUUGCCGGGUGCUCGCCGUCCGGCAGCACACCACGGUGCGACACGGGGUGGUGGAGGCCGAGGCUCACCUAGGUCGAACCAUAUGGUGGCAGUAGGAGGGGACAGAGCACCGUGUGGUGUGAGCGCCGAUUGAAAAUCACCAGCGAGUCCUACUUCAACUACGAUGCAAUGUGGAGUGAAGUUGAGGUCUGGGAGAUCCAUUUUCUCCUGAAGAUAUGAAUAUGUAAGAUGAAGUAGAAGUACAAGUAGAAGCACAAGGUAAUCUAUCUUAUGUUAGUUAACUUGCACCCAAAUGUAAAACGUACAUGACUAUAUUAAAGAAAUAAUUGAACAUCAUUGUAUAAUGUACUUCAUGUCAUGACUAUAACCAUACAUGACUAUAUCAAACAGUUCACAGUUGAUUUGACUUCAGUGGAGACCAAUAUGGUUAGUCUGUUGUUCCAUCUAUCUACUGAGCUUGAUGUUUUCAGAUUAAAUAUCAUGUUUGUGACCUCCGGCCAUGUAUUCCCUUCGCUAGGUAUUUUUUGAUAUGGCGGAUCCACGUAUAACACCUGGCAAACUAUGCCAAGCCCUGGAAACUGUUCAGGCAAUAUUGGUAAUUUUGUUUAUGCUCAGCUUGGUCGAUGCCGUUUAAAUACUCAGCUUGGUCGAUGUCGUUCAAAGUUGAAACGGCUGUUUGUGUGACGGCAGCGCCGCUAGAGUGGCCUGUGGGUCUCUGCUGAUUUCUGGAACUGCGGUGUGGACAGUGGAUUGCACUAUACAUGCAGUGCUCUUGGCUGGGCAUUUGUUUUCACAUCGUGCUGGCUUAGAUCAGUUACUGAUGAACUAACAUGAUGUAUGGAUGCAGAUUAUUAAUGCUGCUAUUUUUGGCUUUUUGCAGUGAACAGUCGAUGCAGGGUAGAACUGCUUAAUGAUACACAUGAGUCUGAUUUUCAGGUGGCCAAAUACACACGAGUCUAAACAAGACAUGGGUCUGCUUUCCUCUUAAGCAGAUAUGAUCAUCAAGCUGUUUCCAGUGACAGCAGCGGAGCCUGGGGAGAGGAGAUGAACCUGGGCCUGGGGUGAGGACAGCCUGGGAUGAGGAGAGCCUGGGCAGCAGCCGAGCCUAGCUCCAGCUCGCCUCAACCUGGGCGGACUUGGAGAGGAGGAGUCCCUGGAGAUGGAGAGGAGUCCCUGGGCAUGGAGAGGAGGAGCGCCUGGGCGCCUGCGUUGGUCUGGAUGGAGGUGGAGCUAUGGCGCCUGGAGGUCUGGGGUGGAGCGCCGGCGAGGGAGCUUCUGAUCGCAGCGGGGAAGGGCGAUCAAAGAGGGGAUCUGGCUCUCGAUUGGAGCGGCGCAGGCAGCCGGCGGGGAAGGACGCCGGAGAUGCGGACGACGGAGGAGCCUGGCGAAGGGGGGGGAGGGACGGAGUCCUCCUCCGCCUGGCGAAGGGGAGGAGCGACGGAGUCCUGGCGGAGGGAAGGAGCGAUGGAGAAAGACGACGACCUGAGCGCGAUUUCAAUUCGGGGGCAGUUUUGUAAUUUCACUACUUUUCACCUGGUCGGAAAAGACCCCCCAGCGACAAUUAUUUCGGAACGGAGGGAGUAUUUCCUUAUAUCAUGAUAAAUGUUUAUUAUUCAUGCUAGAAUUGUAUUAACCGGAAACUUGAUACAUGUGUGGAUACAUAGACAAAACACAGUGUCCCUAGUAAACCUCUACUAGACUAGCUCGUUAAUCAAAG
rnacentral:rRNA from 1 species